rnacentral:rRNA from 1 species
UACGAAGGGGGCAAGCGUUGUUCGGAUUUACUGGGCGUAAAGCGCGCGUAGGCGGAUCGCUAAGUCAGGGGUGAAAUGCCGAGGCUCAACCUCGGAAUUGCCUUUGAUACUGGCAAUCUGGAGUUCGGGAGAGGUGAGUGGAAUUCCGAGUGUAGAGGUGAAAUUCGUAGAUAUUCGGAGGAACACCAGAAGCGAAGGCGGCUCACUGGCCCGAUACUGACGCUGAGGCGCGAAAGCGUGGGGAGCAAACAGG